CACGUAGGGGGCGAGCGUUGUCCGGAUUUAUUGGGCGUAAAGAGCUCGUAGGCGGUUUCGUAAGUCGGAUGUGAAAACUCCAGGCUCAACUUGGAGACGCCAUUCGAUACUGCGAUGACUUGAGUCCGGUAGGGGAGUGUGGAAUUCCUGGUGUAGCGGUGAAAUGCGCAGAUAUCAGGAGGAACACCGGCGGCGAAGGCGACUUCCUGGCCUGUUCUUGACGCUGAGGCGCGAAAGCUAGGGGAGCAAACGGG
rnacentral:rRNA from 1 species